GUGCUCACAUUGGCAGCAGACAUACUAAAACUGGAACAAUACAGAGAUUAGCAUGGCCCCUGCGCAAGGAUGACACGCAAAUUCAUGAAGCACUCCAUAUUAAA
rnacentral:snRNA from 1 species